GAUGAACGCUAGCUACAGGCUUAACACAUGCAAGUCGAGGGGCAGCAUGGUCUUAGCUUGCUAAGGCCGAUGGCGACCGGCGCACGGGUGAGUAACACGUAUCCAACCUGCCGUCUACUCUUGGACAGCCUUCUGAAAGGAAGAUUAAUACAAGAUGGCAUCAUGAGUCCGCAUGUUCACAUGAUUAAAGGUAUUCCGGUAGACGAUGGGGAUGCGUUCCAUUAGAUAGUAGGCGGGGUAACGGCCCACCUAGUCUUCGAUGGAUAGGGGUUCUGAGAGGAAGGUCCCCCACAUUGGAACUGAGACACGGUCCAAACUCCUACGGGAGGCAGCAGUGAGGAAUAUUGGUCAAUGGGCGAGAGCCUGAACCAGCCAAGUAGCGUGAAGGAUGACUGUCCUAUGGGUUGUAAACUUCUUUUAUAAAGGAAUAAAGUCGGGUAUGGAUACCCGUUUGCAUGUACUUUAUGAAUAAGGAUCGGCUAACUCCGUGCCAGCAGCCG
rnacentral:rRNA from 1 species